rnacentral:lncRNA from 1 species
AGUUCUGUGCAGGCAUGCUUGUUUGCCCCUCAGUGCAGUACCUCCCUGUCUUCUUCAGCCUAGAGUGCCCCUUGAACUUUCAUUGUACAUGACCAUGGCUGUCUGGAAGAAUGCAGGGAGGUAUCUGAUAGCACAGUUUCCAGCUUGGCUUUAAGCGAUGAUGUUUUUUUAUGUUGGAAUCCAGGUUCUAUAUUUUGGCAAGGAUGGGCCAGAGGUGAUGUGCUUAAUUAAGUACAUUGUAGCAGGAGGAACAGUUACCAACCUCUGCCAGGACUGGUGAUUCUACAUCGAGCUCUUGCUGGAGAAGGAGCCUGCAAGCCCUGCUCUCUCUCUUGGUGGGAGAGAGAUAUUUUGGGCCACUUGUUCCAGUUCUCAAGUGCAUGUCACCAUUUAGAAGAUAAGUCUCCAUCAGAUACUGUCCAGUGCAGAGACAGCACCACGGCUGAGGAUGGCCGGACCAUUACAAAAGGAACCCACAGAGAAGUAGAGGCACCAGCCAAAAGCAAUGUUAACCACAAUCACUGUGAUUGCUAUUUUUGGUUGUCAACUUGACUACAUCUGGAAUCAACUAAAACCCAAUGGCUUGGCACAACUGUGAGGGACUUUUUUUUCUUAAGUAAAUCCUUUGAGCUCUGGAUCUUUGAGGUGGGAAGAUACACCUUUAAUGGAGGUCACACUUUCUGCUGGCAGCCUACAAAAAGGAGAUGAAGAAGGAAAUUUUGCUGUUGUUGUUAGCAAAUCCAUUCCUUCACUGGCACUGAAGCCGGCUUCUUCAGGAUUCUGGUAUGUAAUGCUGAAGACCAGCUGAGACAUUCAACCUUUGUGAACUGAACUGAAUUCUUCCAUUGGUAGACAGCCAUUGUUUGUCUAGCUGGACAACAUCCUAUAUGCCAGUUUAAUAAAUCUUAAUAUGUGAGUGCACCA